UCCUUCGAGGGGGUGGAGCGGGCACGGU
rnacentral:sRNA from 1 species